rnacentral:lncRNA from 1 species
UAAUAAAAAUUAUUGUUCGCGAAUAUUCAAUUUGGAAUGCGAUUUUGUUCAUAAAAAAAAUACUUAUAACUUAUGCAAAACCCAAGAGAGGCAUUUAUAUUUAUUUCUUUUGCGUUCAUUUUCAAAUUCGCCGUGCAUAUAUUUUUGUGCAUGGCGCUUGAGAGGGCAUCACGUGACUAAAAACGACCAACCAACGACCUCGCUUCGGCCAUCUUGGCAUCUUCAUCUUGGACACCUUGCUUUGCCGUGGGUGGAUCGUUGUUUGGUAUUAUUUGUGCUUUUUAAGAAUAUUUUUUUAAUUCGGAUACUUUUAUAAUAGCUUUAAUAGUAUUAUUAACAUAGUGAAUAAAAUGGUGUCCUGUUUUUAACGCAGUUGGAGUAGCAGAAACAAAUGUAGAUAAAAAAAUCUGCAGGAAUAACGUUUCAAUUAUGACAGAAGCUCCAAACAAAUGACUGUGAAUGAAAAGCCCUAUUAAAAGCUUUCCAGAAGAUCCUGCGAAGAAGACAUGAAGUAUAGAUCAGAUUUGUUAAUAGAGGAGUAUGUUCAAAACACUUUUUAGAAAAAGAUAUUGACAGAACUUCACUUUCAUCUGUUCGUUUAAGAGACUGUGCUGUUCCAAUAGCUUAUGUCACACAGAAUCAGCUGAGAGAAGUGGUCUACAAAAAACCAGAAAGGAAACGGAAUAUGUGGCUACGAAAAGCAAAAGAAAGGUUUACAAAGCAAAUGUGACACAUUUUUUUAUAAUAUUUAGGAAUGUCAGUAAAUUACAUUAAAAAAUGUAUGUAAAGAUUUUUUGCAAUAAAAAUGUUUAUAUUUAUCAAGGAUGUAUUAUUUGGUAUGGCCACAUAUCGUCAGUGAUGUGACAAUACCUCCUAUCUGUUUUUUUCAAGAGAUUUGUAAGAUAGACUAAAAACUUGUUUCGGCCACCUCCUGUUUUCAUAUAUUUUUUGACUUGUUUUGCAGUAAAUUCAACUAUCUAUUUACUACAAAAAAGUCAGAAUACGUACGAAAACAGAAAGUGACCUUAAAAAAUGU